AGUGAACGCUGGCGGUAGGCCUAACACAUGCAAGUCGAACGGCAGCACAGUAAGAGCUUGCUCUUACGGUUGGCGAGUGGCGGACGGGUGAGGAAUACAUCGUAAUCUACUUUUUCGUGGGUGAUAACGUAGGGAAACUUACGCUAAUACCUCAUACGACCUACGGGUGAAAGCAGUGGAUCUUCGGACCUUUCGCGAUUGAAUGAGCCGAUGUCGGAUUAGCUAGUUGGCGGGGUAAAGGCCCACCAAGGCGACGAUCCGUAGCUGGUCUGAGAGGAUGAUCAGCCACACUGGAACUGAGACACGGUCCAGACUCCUACGGGAGGCAGCAGUGGGGAAUAUUGGACAAUGGGCGAAAGCCUGAUCCAGCCAUACCGCGUGGGUGAAGAAGGCCUUCGGGUUGUAAAGCCCUUUUGUUGGGAAAGAAAAGCAGCAGGUUAAUACCCCGCUGUUCUGACGGUACCCAAAGAAUAAGCACCGGCUAACUUCGUG
rnacentral:rRNA from 1 species